ncrna:unclassified sequences RAGATH-21 RNA
UGAAUAUGCCCUUAAGAGAAACAGAUGAAGCAGAUCUGAGCGGAAUCUGGAGGUUGAAAAGCGGAUGCAAUUUCCGGCAUAUUCA